UUGAAUUAUCUUUCCAAUGAUACCAAUUUUGCCUAAAUAAAAUAUCGUAGCAAAACGUUAUUCCUAUUUUACUCCAGUAUGUCAGGCUGGAAACAGUGUGACGACAUUCAUGGUAGCUUACCAUAUUUGUGACACCCUACCAUGAAGGUCGUCAGCCUUAGGUAGAAUCCAACUCCUGUGCGAUUAAAUUCUUGGUAGCUUACCAUAUUUGUGACGCCCUACUACGAAGGUCUUCAUCCUUAGGCAGAAUUCAGCUCCUGUGUGACAACAUUCGUGGUAGCUUACCACAUUUGUGAUGCCCUAUGACGAAGGUCGUCAGCCUUAGGUAGAAACCAGCUCCUAAGUGACAACAUUCAUGGUAUCUUACCAAAUUUGAGAUUUCCUACCACGAAGGUCGUCAGACUUAGGCAGAAACCAUCAAUUCCAGCUUCUGUGAGACGACAUUUUUGAUGGCUUACCACAUUUUUGACGCCUUGUCACAAAUAUCGUCAGCUAUUAUUUUCAGCAACUGGGAAUUUAUUUCAUAAGGGUAUUUUUGUCUUUUCUCUUCACUUCCCACGACUUAUAACCCUCAAGGAAUGUAUUAUCUUCCAUUCUCUUUAGUUAAAACAUCUUAAAAAGCUCUCUCAUACACUUUCAAC
rnacentral:lncRNA from 1 species